rnacentral:lncRNA from 1 species
AUCAGUGUCUCCCCAGCGAAGACUCCAUGCCGACAUCUGCAGCUGCCCCGACUCACCUACAGAAGCAAGUGGCCCCAUCAUCUGAAAACAGGAUGAGAGAUCAAGAAAUAUUAUCCAGUGGCUCUAUGCAGUUCAAAGGGUAGAAGAAAGAAGACCCAGUCAAGGUUUUCGGAUUGGCAGUCUCCAGGUGACAUCUGGUUCUUCUGCCUCCCCCCGAAGGUGGAACAGCAUUGGAAUAAAUUUUAAAUCAGAUGAAAAAAAGCAAUCCUCAUAGCGGGGAGAAAGUGAGGGAAAAGGAGGAAGGAAAAAGAAGAGAAUAGGAGGAAAGGAUGGAAGGAGAAAUGAAGAAAUGAAGAUUUGGGGCAGAUGUCGCCAGUGACGUAUUGCCAAGGAGUGAAAACUAUUGCCAAGGAGUGAUUCUUAUUUGGACAUUGCUUUAAAUAAUUGCAGAUCCUAAGAAAGACGCUAUAGUGGACCAUGUCUGAGAUAUCAAAAUAUCAACAAGGGUGAGCAAUCUGAGAGCAACAUUUUGCAACACUGUCACAUAUCAGUGUGAAUUAAGAAGUUCUCAUAGGCAGGUGAGUCAACCAGAUGCUCUCCUGGUAGGGGUAACGUGAUUACACACUGAUUACAUUUCUUUAUCAGCGGAGAUUCAUCAAGAAGCUCAACAUUUGCAUUUGUACAAUAUUUCUAUCUUGAAAAAUGGACAAUUCCACACCUUCACAAAACAAAUAGAACAUAAUUUAUGUAUUAAUUCAUGUGAUUCUGGAUUUCACACCGUGGCAGUUAAAUAUUUUUUUUAAGCUUAUGGGCAGUUUUAUUUUGUUUGUUCUGUCUUAUUUCUGUGGGCAUGGAAUUUUUACUUUAUGCUUUUUGUCUUUGCUUUUUCUGAACUCUAUAAACCAUUUCUCAGAAAAGCAUCCUUGUGCUCUAAGAAAAAUGAAUCUCAACAUCGCAAGGAACACACCUCUCCAGCCGAUGAUUAGCCAAACUGAUCAGACCUUUUCUGUUUGGGACAAUUGCAGCAGAGAAGCGGAUUCUGAGCAGUGGGGUGGGAUGGAUCUUAGCAACUGAGGGC